rnacentral:tRNA from 1 species
GCUUUUGGUUCAGUGGUAGAAUGCCUCGCCUGCCACGCGGGCGCCCCGGGUUCGAUUCCCGCCGAUGCA